UGAGGAAUAUUGGGCAAUGGGCGCAAGCCUGACCCAGCCACGCCGCGUGGAGGAAGACACCCCUAUGGGGCGUAAACUCCUUUUGUGCGAGAAGAAAGCGCCGGUUUCCGGCGUCUGACGGUAUCGCACGAAUAAGCACCGGCUAACUCCGUGCCAGCAGCCGCGGUAAUACGGAGGGUGCAAGCGUUGUCCGGAAUCACUGGGUGUAAAGGGUGUGUAGGCGGGGCUGUAAGUCAGAGGUGAAAUCCCACGGCUCAACCGUGGAACUGCCUUUGAUACUGCAGCUCUUGAGUCCCGGAGAGGUGGCUGGAAUUCGUGGUGUAGCGGUGAAAUGCGUAGAUAUCACGAGGAACACCAGAGGUGUAGACGGGUCACUGGACGGGUACUGACGCUGAGGCACGAAAGCGUGGGGAGCAAACAGGAUUAGAUACCCUGGUAGUCCACGCCGUAAACGAUGGAUGCUCGGUGUUGCCCCGCCUUUAGGGGCAGUGCCUAAGCUAACGCGUUAAGCAUCCCACCUGGGGAGUACGCUCGCAAGAGUG
rnacentral:rRNA from 1 species